rnacentral:rRNA from 1 species
UGGGGAAUUUUGGACAAUGGGCGAAAGCCUGAUCCAGCAAUGCCGCGUGUGUGAAGAAGGCCUUCGGGUUGUAAAGCACUUUUGUCCGGAAAGAAAUCCUUGGCUCUAAUACAGUCGGGGGAUGACGGUACCGGAAGAAUAAGCACCGGCUAACUACGUGCCAGCAGCCGCGGUAAUACGUAGGGUGCAAGCGUUAAUCGGAAUUACUGGGCGUAAAGCGUGCGCAGGCGGUUUGCUAAGACCGAUGUGAAAUCCCCGGGCUCAACCUGGGAACUGCAUUGGUGACUGGCAGGCUAGAGUAUGGCAGAGGGGGGUAGAAUUCCACGUGUGGCAGUGAAAUGCGUAGAGAUGUGGAGGAAUACCGAUGGCGAAGGCAGCCCCCUGGGCCAAUACUGACGCUCAUGCACGAAAGCGUGGGGAGCAAACAGGAUUAGAUACCCUGGUAGUCCACGCCCUAAACGAUGUCAACUAGUUGUUGGGGAUUCAUUUCCUAGUAACGUAGCUAACGCGUGAAGUUGACCGCCUGGGGAGUACGGUCGCAAGAUUAAAACUCAAAUGAAUUGACGGGGUCAUAGCUGUUUCCU